GCCAGCGUGGCCCAGUGGUUUGAGCAUUGGACUAGGGCUCUGGAGACCAGGGUUCGAAUCCUCGCUCAGCCA